rnacentral:rRNA from 1 species
UACGGAGGGUGCAAGCGUUAUCCGGAUUCACUGGGUUAAAGGGUGCGUAGGCGGGUAUAUAAGUCAGUGGUGAAAAGCUCCGGGCUUAACUUGGAAACUGCCAUUGAUACUUGUAUAUCUUGAAUGUCGUAGAGGUUAGCGGAAUGUUGCAUGUAGCGGUGAAAUGCUUAGAUAUGUUACAGAACACCAAAUUGCGAAGGCAGCUAACUAUGCGAUGAUUGACGCUGAGGCACGAAAGCGUGGGAGCAAAACAGG